GGAAGCUACAGCCAGCAGGCGGAGGCAGGGCCUAGGUGUGCGGGUCCACCACCGGCUCUGGAAAGCAGGUCAUAGCUCCUCACUGGAUGGGAUUGGAGAACUUGGAACUGAAACAAGAGUAGACAGAUCCUCGUGAGGCUGCUUAGCAUCGCCAUGGCUUCUAGAGAUAUCCUCCAAAGGAAUGCUAUAUCAGAGGAGAAAUAUGGACACAAACAUGGCAAACUCUAGCCAAAUUCUGACAACUCCUCAGUCACAGGAAAGCCGGCUUGAUCCUGUCACGGACACACUUGGCGCACAUGGAGUCACCAUAGGCCCUGCUGACGUGCUUCUUUGUCUUAAACAAUCCCAUGAGGACUUUGGGUCUCACAGCACGAACCCCUCGCAGUCUGCCUGGGCACACGCCACACGCGGACUUAGGUGCUUUCCCAACCUUCUGGGUGUAAAGCCAGAGUCAACAAUAAAAGCUGAGAGUCCCUCACGAAGUGAAACAGCUGCAAAGAAGACUCUCAGAAGAGAAAGGUUGCAAAGACAGUUUUGAGACCAGAAUAGCUGUGUGGAAGAAGCAGAUACCAGGCCAGUUGCUUGGAAGAGGUAAACCUCUUUAUAACUGAGGCUCUUGGAAAGGACACUCUCCAACAUGUUGAGCUGCCUGAAAGCUCUGUAUUGUAUUCAAGGUUCUCAGCUUUGUGAACUAUCACCCACAGUGGCGUGGGCUUUGCUGUCUUUUGUGUCAUUUCUGCUCCUGUAAGCAACCCCAAUAAAACACAUUAGUUCACC
rnacentral:lncRNA from 1 species